UUCACUGUAUUUUCUAUAUCUCCUUAUAGUUCUUGGAUAUUUUCUAUUCUCUCCAUACUUCAUUUUAAAUAUUGUUUUGUGACCUAUAUUCCACUUUACAAAUUUUGUCUUCAGUUGGAUCUCAAAGUUGCUGAAGUUAUUUAUUGAGGUCUUAAUUUUGAUUUUUUUUAUAAUUCUAGAAUUUCUUUUUGUCUCUCAUGCAGUUUCCAGUUCUCUGCCUAAGCCCUUAGUUAUUUCUUUUAUUUCAUUGAAAAUAUAACUGCAUACAUUAUAUGCCUUCUGUUUGCCUCUCUGGAUAUAUCUUCACUCUCCUCUCUAUGCUGCUUUUUACCCAGGACUCUGCUCUGCAUGGACUAUGUCAAUGGACUUUCCUGUCCUCUGGCUUCUAGCUGUGUUUGACUAAUGCUACUCAACUCUUCAGUGCUGAUCCUAGAAAAUAACCUCCAAUGGAUCUCUGAAUAAUGGAAAAAGAUGGCAUUCAGCCAUGAACAUCUGAGUGCUGUAGGUGGUCACACCUUUAAUGUUCAAGCCACAGCUGACAGGGCUCCCGACUCAAGGCCCCUCUCCUGGCUUCCUGAUGUCACUGCUGUGCCCACAGUGAGUUCACAUCCUUCCACCUGUCCUACUGCACGGGACCCCAUGAGUUAGCGGCAGACUGCACCUGGCAAAUGGCCCACAGUCCACUGAUGGGACAGAUGGAUGACUACCAUUCAGCAGAGUAACAGCCAAAGAGGUAAGGCUGAUUUUCCACGACAGCUAAUGCCAAUGUUCAUCCAAGUAUUAAUUUCUGACGAGUGUUCUGGAAGCUAAGGACAUGUUCACUGGGGACAGGGGAAAGUUGUCAGUUCACUUUGGUGUCCACUGAACCAUCUUACUCAAGAUUCCUAUAGGUGCCGGGGAUUUAGCUCAGUGGUUUCACCACCUGUUGCACA